rnacentral:rRNA from 1 species
UGUCUCAAAGAUUAAGCCAUGCAUGUCUCAGUGCAAGCCACAUUAAGGUGAAACCGCGAAUGGCUCAUUACAUCAGUUAUGGUUCCUUAGAUCGUACCCACAUUACUUGGAUAACUGUGGUAAUUCUAGAGCUAAUACAUGCAAAUAGAGUUCCGACCAGAGAUGGAAGGAAUGCUUUUAUUAGAUCAAAACCAAUCGGUGGCGGGCUUGCCUUGCUCACCGUUUGACUUGGUGACUCUGAAUAACUUUGUGCUGAUCGCACGGUCUCGUACCGGCGACGCAUCUUUCAAAUGUCUGCCUUAUCAACUGUCGAUGGUAGUUUCUGCGACUACCAUGGUUGUUACGGGUAACGGGGAAUCAGGGUUCGAUUCCGGAGAGGGAGCCUGAGAAACGGCUACCACAUCCAAGGAAGGCAGCAGGCGCGCAAAUUACCCACUCCCGGCACGGGGAGGUAGUGACGAAAAAUAACGAUACGGGACUCAUCCGAGGCCCCGUAAUCGGAAUGAGUACACUUUAAAUCCUUUAACCAGGAUCAAUUGGAGGGCAAGUCUGGUGCCAGCAGCCGCGGUAACACCAGCUCCAAUAGCGUAUAUUAAAGUUGUUGCGGUUAAAAAGCUCGUAGUUGAAUCUGUGUCCCACACUGUCGGUUCACCGCUCGCGGUGUUCAACUGGCAUGUCUGUGGGACGUCCUACCGGUGGGCGCAGCCCGUCAAAAGGCGGCCCAACUCAAAAUCCUACCACGGUGCUCUUCACCGAGUGUCGAGGUGGGCCGG